GAUUGUGGCGGAAUUGGUAGACGCGCUGGACUUAGAAUCCAGUGCCCACGGCGUGAAGGUUCGAGUCCUUUCAAUCG
rnacentral:tRNA from 1 species